UAUUAUUAUGAAUUUAAAAUUAUUAUACUUAGGUAGUAAGUUAAGAUCUUAAAACUUAAAGAAUUUGGCGGUAUUUUAGUCUAUUUAGAGGAAUUUGUCCCGUUGUCGAUAAUCCGCGCUGAACCUAACUUUAAUUAGAAAUAUGUAUAUCGCCGUUUAGAAAAUCUUUCUAGAGUUAAUUUUCUAGUUUUUUUAAUAAAUCUUAUUUCAGGUCAAGGUGCAAUUUAUGUUAAAGUGGAGAUGAAUUACAAUAUUAAAAUGUAUAUGAAUUAUAAACUGAAAAAUUUUUAUGAAAGUGGAUUUAACAGUAAUAUUAUAAAGAUUAUUAAUAUGAUUAUUUUGGCUCUAAAAUAUGUACAUAUCGCCCGUCACUCUCACCUUAAGGUGAG
rnacentral:rRNA from 1 species